UGUUUGUAGUUGAUUUCUCAUAUUUAUGGAGUAAUCCUUCUUUUCAAAAAAACAGAAGAGAAUGAGUUAUUGUUGUCGUAGGUAUAUGCAACUAUGUAGAUGAAGAUGUAGCUGAUGGAGCUGAAUCUGAGCCUCACACUAUUGACAAAGAAUCAUGAAAGACUGGUCUUAAACAUGUAAAAGAAAAAAAAGGAAACAAAACAAAAGAGAAAAGAAAAGAAGAAAACAAGCAAAGGAAAAUAGAUGGUAAAAGGACAUACGCAUUUUGUCCAU
rnacentral:lncRNA from 1 species